GGAAUAACUCGGGGAAACCCGUGCUAUCCCGGAUGAAGUCGCAAGACCAAAGAUUUAUCGCCGGAAGAUCGGCCCGCGUCUGAUUAGCUGGUUGGUGGGGUAACGGCUCACCAAGGCGACGAUCCGUAGCUGGUCUGAGAGGACGACCACCCACACUGGGACUGAGACGCGGCCCAGACUCCUACGGGAGGAAGCAGUGGGGAAUAUUGGACAAUGGGCGCAAGCCUGAUCCAUCAAUGCCGCGUGAGUGAUGAAGGCCUUCGGGUUGUAAAGCUCUUUCACACGCGACGAUGAUGACGGUAGCGUGACAAGAAACCCCGGCUAACUUCGGGCCCCCACCCGCGGUAA
rnacentral:rRNA from 1 species